AAAGUUUUAAGUUAAAUAAACUAAUAGCCUUCAAAGUUAUAAAUAAAAAAAUUAUUUUUAAGCUUUA
rnacentral:tRNA from 1 species